UACGGGGGGGGCAAGCGUUGUUCGGAAUUACUGGGCGUAAAGGGCUCGUAGGCGGCCAACUAAGUCGGAUGUGAAAUCCCCAAGCUAAACUUGGGAACUGCAUCCGAUACUGGAUGGCUUGAAUCCGGGAGAGGGAUGCAGAAUUCCAGGUGUAGCGGUGAAAUGCGUAGAUAUCUGGAGGAAUACCGGUGGCGAAGGCGGCAUCCUGGACCGGCAUUGACGCUGAGGAGCGAAAGCUAGGGGAGCAAACGGG
rnacentral:rRNA from 1 species